ensembl:snoRNA
GUUUUUUUUUAAACCCAGACCUAGGGGUGCAAGACUUGCAAAGUUUGGUUUUGACAAUGAAGUGAAUUCAGUCUGUACCUGAAAACCCAGAGAAGAGAUUGUAAAACUCAUCUUUGGGUCCUGUCUUGUCACAGCU